AAGCGGUUCGUGUUCCUCCUUAGUCCUUCCUCUCGUCUCGGUCAGCUGCGAUCUUCCUCGUGACUCUGUCGUCUUCUUCAGUCGUCUGUUUUAUUUCACGAGACGAAACCUCUCAGCAUUCCAUGGAUUCACCGUGCGGGUGCCGGGUUACGCUGCAGGUGAAGGAGCUUCAACAGUGCCCGGGACUUGCGAGCCAGAACCCUAUCGUGACGAUGCGAGUAUUGACCGCUAUCGAGGAGUACCCUACAACCCACCAGCAAGUGCUUAGCAGUUCCAACUGCCUUCCCGCUGAUAUAGCAAGUUUCUUCGAAGUCGUGAGAAUAUAUAAUGCAAGAUGAGGGUAGAAGCUGUCGGGAGCGUCUGUUAGGACGUGGUCUGCGGACGAGAGGGAACCUUCUCUGAAGGGGAGUGUACGUAGCUGAUCCGCGACAGUAGUGUGACGACGGCGUCAGUCGUCUGUGCUUGGGAUUCAUCCAUCAGGAGAUGACGGCUGGUCACCAAGUGUUAGGUGGGUACCGACAAUGAAGCAUCAGUGUGUCAUAACACGAGACGAUAUGUUAGAGACAGUGAGGUGCGAGUUACGUGAAGGGGAGAAUGACUCGGUGAUUGUAACUAUGAGGGACGACUCAUAGUUAAAUAUGAUACAUAUAAGUGAAAUGUAUAAUAUUAUAUAGGUUUAUAGAUAAGUUUGUAGACAAGUGUUUAGAUAAUUUAUGAAUAGAUACAAUGAGAGCGAAAUAUGUAAAUUGUAGGAAAAAAUGCAUAUUUAUGUGGUUUGAAUAGCCUUUAAUGUAUCCGUGUACGAAAAUUAAAUUAAAAUUCGCUUAUUGAUACUCGAGUUCACAUAAACAAUGCGAGCGCUCUGAUUGGUCGAAAGGUGACGCGUCGCUCCCACUGAAUUACCACCAGGUAUUUCAGUCUCCCAGUAGGUACACAUGUCCCUUUUUUUUUGAGACACAGUUUGACCACCGCACGGUGCAGACGUGUUGCAAAGGUUCAGAUGCAAAUAAAAGUGACAAGUGACAAAAGUGAAAGAAGAGGUUCGAAGUCCAGCGUGUCCGGCGUUGAGAGCAGAAUUCCGAAGUGGGUAGCAGCCACCGUCGCUUAAGUCGCCGUUGUCGUGCCAUCAGGUAUCACACAGUCGAUAGGGAAGUUAGGUACACCCCUGCUACCUAAAAGCAAGGACAUAGUAUAGUUUACCAAAGCCACUCACCUCCCUGUCAAGGCAGGGAGGACACCCCCCGUACCGUCGCCCACCAUGGGCAACAAUAUGGAGGGCAUAAUAGAAAGAUUCGAGGUACUAAUAAAGUUCCUCGCGGAAACCGCCUCUACAGUUUUUAGGGAGUUUAAUGAGAAGUUCCCAAUACCACCGAUAACAUUCGACACGGACAGCCCGGCUUCACCGAGAUGCCCGCAGCAAGGCAAUCCAUCGGAUAUGGAUUGCUCGCCAAUCGGCUCGGAGGCCGAGACAUCAUCGUCAGAGACGACGCCGCCGACCU